UACGAAGGGGGCUAGCGUUGCUCGGAAUUACUGGGCGUAAAGCGCACGUAGGCGGCUUUCUAAGUCGGGUGUGAAAUCCUGGAGCUCAACUCCAGAACUGCCUUCGAUACUGGAGAGCUCGAGUCCGGGAGAGGUGAGUGGAACUGCGAGUGUAGAGGUGAAAUUCGUAGAUAUUCGGAAGAACACCAGUGGCGAAGGCGACUUACUGGACACAUAUUGACGCUGAGGUGCGAAAGCGUGGGGAGCAAACAGG
rnacentral:rRNA from 1 species